UACGUAGGGUGCGAGCGUUAAUCGGAAUUACUGGGCGUAAAGCGUGCGCAGGCGGUUUUGUAAGCCAGAUGUGAAAGCCCCGGGCUUAACCUGGGAACUGCAUUUGUGACUGCAUCGCUGGAGUGCGGCAGAGGGGGAUGGAAUUCCGCGUGUAGCAGUGAAAUGCGUAGAUAUGCGGAGGAACACCGAUGGCGAAGGCAAUCCCCUGGGCCUGCACUGACGCUCAUGCACGAAAGCGUGGGGAGCAAACAGG
rnacentral:rRNA from 1 species